rnacentral:snRNA from 1 species
AGCGACAGAGGGUAGUACAAACAGACAACGCCCUCGCCUUUUACUAGGGCGUUCCGUGUGCUACCCUCAUCCCAAUGUUGCACUGCCAAUUUUUCGGAGUACAUGAACC